GCUGGCGGCGUGGAUAAGACAUGCAAGUCGAACGACAAUCAGAGAGUAGCAAUAUUUUCUGGUUGGAGUGGCGCAAGGGUGCGUAACACGUGGGUAAUCUGCCGUGAAGUUGGGGAUAACUCGCUGAAAGGCGAGCUAAUACCGAAUGUGAUUGUUAGGAGGCAUCUCCAGACAAUCAAAGUUGGGGACCGAAAGGCCUGAUGCUUCACGAUGAGCCCGCGGCCUAUCAAGCUAGUUGGUGAGGUAACGGCCCACCAAGGCGAUGACGGGUAGCUGGUCUGAGAGGACGACCAGCCACACUGGAACUGAGACACGGUCCAGACACCUACGGGUGGCAGCAGUCGAGAAUUUUUCUCAAUGGGCGCAAGCCUGAAGGAGCGACGCCGCGUGGGGGAUGAAGGGCUUCGGCUCGUAAACCCCUGUCAUUUGCGAACAAUUCUGUUGGUCGAAUAAGCCAGCAGUUGAUAGUAGCAAAAGAGGAAGGGACGGCUAACUCUGUGCCAGCAGCCGCGGUAAUACAGAGGUCCCAAGCGUUGUUCGGAUUCACUGGGCGUAAAGGGUGCGUAGGCGGUAAGGUAAGUUUGGUGUGAAAUCUCCAGGCCUAACCUGGAAACUGCACUGAAUACUAUCUUGCUCGAGGGUCGGAGGGGAGACUGGAAUUCUCGGUGUAGCAGUGAAAUGCGUAGAUAUCGAGAGGAACACCAGUGGCGAAGGCGAGUCUCUGGACGAUUCCUGACGCUGAGGCACGAAAGCUAGGGGAGCAAACAGGAUUAGAUACCCUGGUAGUCCUAGCCCUAAACGGUGCACAUUUGCUGUGAGCGGAAUCGACCCCGUUCGUGGCGUAGCUAACGCAUUAAAUGUGCCGCCUGGGAAGUACGGCCGCAAGGUUAAAACUCAAAGAAAUUGACGGGGGCCUGCACAAGCGGUGGAGUAUGUGGCUUAAUUCGAUUCAACGCGAAGAACCUUACCUGGCCUUGACAUGUAGGUAGUAGAAGGAUGAAAGUCUGACGAGGUAGCAAUACCAGCCUACACAGGUGCUGCAUGGCUGUCGUCAGCUCGUGUCGUGAGAUGUUGGGUUAAGUCCCGCAACGAGCGCAACCCUCGUGUCCUGUUGCAAUCCGAAUGAGAGUUCGGAGCACUCUGGACAGACUGCCUCAUUUAAAUGAGGAGGAAGGUGAGGAUGACGUCAAGUCAGGAUGGCCCUUACGGCCAGGGCUGCACACGUACUACAAUGCGCGGCACAAAGAGAAGCAAGACCGCAAGGUGGAGCAAAUCUC
rnacentral:rRNA from 1 species